AGCGAACGCUGGCGGUAGGCCUAACACAUGCAAGUCGAACGGCAGCACAGUAAGAGCUUGCUCUUACGGGUGGCGAGUGGCGGACGGGUGAGGAAUACAUCGGAAUCUACUUUUUCGUGGGGGAUAACGUAGGGAAACUUACGCUAAUACCGCAUACGACCUACGGGUGAAAGCAGGGGAUCUUCGGACCUUGCGCGAUUGAAUGAGCCGAUGUCGGAUUAGCUAGUUGGCGGGGUAAAGGCCUACCAAGGCGACGAUCCGUAGCUGGUCUGAGAGGAUGGUCAGCCACACGGGAAGUGAGACAGGGUCCAGACUCCGACGGGGGGAAACAGUGGGGAAUAUUAGACAAUGGGGGAGAGCCUGAUCCAGCCAUACCGCGUAGGUGAUGAUGGCCUUCUGGUUGUAAAGCCCUUUUGUUGGGAGAGAAAAGCAGCAGGUUAAUACCCCGCGGUACUGACGGUACCCAAAGAAUAAGCACCGGCUAACUUCGUG
rnacentral:rRNA from 1 species